rnacentral:rRNA from 1 species
UACGUAGGGGGCGAGCGUUAUUCGGAUUCACUGGGCGUAAAGGGCGCGUAGGCGGCUUUGCAAGUGACGGGUGAAAUCCCUCGGCUUAACCGAGGAACUGCCUGUCAAACUGCAUGGCUUGAGACCGGGAGAGGUGAGUGGAAUUCCCAGUGUAGCGGUGAAAUGCGUAGAUAUUGGGAGGAACACCAGUGGCGAAGGCGGCUCACUGGACCGGAACUGACGCUGAGGCGCGAAAGCGUGGGGAGCAAACAGG